rnacentral:lncRNA from 1 species
GCUCAAAUAUAUCAGUGAACAAAGCAGACUAAAAUCUCUGCCUCUAAGAGCAUACAAUUCUAAUGGGGGAAGAUAAACAAUGAAUAAACUAAAUAAGUCUGUUAUAUAGAGAGGAUGGGAAAUAGUAAUAAGUGCUAUGGAAAAACAGACUGCAGGGAAUGGCAGUGGGGAAUGUGUGCAGAGGGGUAGGUUGUAAUUUUGAGUUGGAUAGUCAGGGCACACUUCAUGGAGAAGAUGGCAUCUGAGCAGAGACUUGUAGUUCAUGAAGCAGGGAGCCAUGUGGCCAUGGGGAGGAGGAGCACUCCAGGCGAGGGGAGCAAGCAGCCCAUGCAAAGAGCCUGAGGAAGGAGAGUGUCUGGAAUAAUAAAGGAGUCCAGUGUGCUGGAGGCAAGGAGGACAACAGGCCCGGCCUGGAUGCUAGAUCUUCUGUACUUCUUAGGACUGAUUCUAGAACCUCAGUAAAGGAUGGGAGGUGUCCAGAUUUUGAGGCUUCUAAAGAUGUCAAAACAUCAAUCUAAAGAAGUGAAUGAAAUUGCAGCCUCCCUCCUUGCCUGCCCAGCUGUAGUUAGGGGUUGGUGAGCCAUGAGCCGGUGAGUUCCUUCCAGCCUGGGGCCUCAUCAGCUGCCAACCAGCCCUUCAUAGAAAAGAGCACACGAAGGGUUUUAAAAGAGGAAGAUGACAACGGGAUGUCUCAGAGAUCUGAAAGCAUUUUCAAGGGAAAAGGAAACCAAAAAAGGAAAGAAAUAUGUCAUCAACAUUUAUCUAUAUAUCCUCAUCCUGUAGCUGAAACUUUGUUUCAUCCAAUUCCUGGUGUCAUAGUUGUCUAAGGGGCCACAUGAUUCUCUACCAGGAUGGGCCAUUCUAGUAAGACUGCACCUGGCCAAAGAUAAAGCUGUCUUUACAUCUGGACUACUUCUUGGAAUGUUUCAGAUGGUCUCACAUGAGCUCACCUAGAAACGUUUGCAACUCCAGGAAACAGCAGCUGCAAGGAGGAGAAAAGGGAGCUAACAGUUAUUGAACAGCUUUGUGAGAGGUCAUGUUUAGAAGCUUUUCAAGUGCUUUCUCUUUUUAUCUUCUCAACAAUCCCACGUGGUAUCAUCAUCCUCAUUUUAUAGUGAAGGAAACAGAUGCUCAGCGAUGUUGGGUAACUUGCCCCAGGGCAGAAAGCAGAACUGGUCCUGUUCAGCCCAGGAUCAAGCCGGAAUUCAAAUCCAGAUCCUCCUGCCUCUGAAAUGCUCUUUUCAUAAGAUUGAGCUUCAGUAUAUGUGGCCAUCCCAUACACUCAGGAAGUGGGGAAGGAGGAUGUGGUUCCUGAGCCAUGAAAUAGUCCAGAGAGAAUCUAAGAGACAGAAUCAGAAAAACAUUAGCCCUACAGUCAUCAUCAACACACAAGUUGAAUAACAUCAAGUUUUUAGUCCCAGGCUUCCUGUGGACUAUCUUUCUGAAGUCCCCUGCUUGAAGGCCGUGCUGGAUGGCCGAGCACUUUGGCAUAGGAAGGAGAGGAAUUUGUAUUUCAUUAAACAACAACAACAACAACAAUUCAGAAUUGUAAUUCUCUUUUUUUUUUUUUUUUUGUGACAGUUUUGCUCUUGUUGCCCAGGCUGGAGUGCAAUGGCGCGAUCUCAGCUCACUGCAACCUCCGCCUCCCAGGUUCAAGUGAUUCUCCUGCCUCAGCCUCCCGAGUAGCUGAGAUUACAGGCAUGUGCCACCACGUCCAGCUAAUUUUGUAUUUUUAGUAGAGACCGGGUUUCUCCAUGUUGGUCAGGCUGCUCUCAAACUCCCGAUCUCAGGUGAUCCACCGCCUCAGCCUCCCAAAGUGCUGGGAUUGCAGGCGUGAGCCACCAUGCCAGGCUGAGACAAUGAAAAGGUGGACAUUUGAUGAGCUUGUGUUUCUAACAGUUUAUAGAGUUCAGAAACAUGGAGAUUUGUUUGCAUGACACUUUCAUUACAGAAUUAUUAUUCAGUUGAUUUAUUCUUUCAUUCCAGAUCAUUAAUAUUAACUGAUAUCAGGGGUGUUAAAUAUUUAGAGAUAGAAAAAGAAAUGUAUCUAAUGAGCAAAAAUACAUUUUAAGAUUUAAAAAAAAAAAGAAAUCAAAUCUUUGGGAUCCAACAUGGGACUUUGGACAGCUCAGGAUAUCCGCUGGUUUCUGCCUGGGAUCUGAAGACUGUUUACAUUCCAGUGGAAUUCCUGGGAAAGUCCAGAGCUCUCACUGCUGUGAAAACAAUGGCUUAUGGUGAUAAACUCUCAACUGCCUCACCCUGAGAAGUGGCAAGGCCUGCAAAGUUUCCCUGGGCAGGAUGGACAGGGCCAGGCAGCAUUCCUAGGAAGAAAUUGCCUUGUUUGCUGCCUUGAGCUGAAACUAAAGCUGGUUUGAAGGCAUGCAGACUUCUGCCUGCUGAACCAUGACUGGGCUUUGACAAAGGUGACUACUACACCUCUUGUCAUCAACAGCUGUCAUUGCUGACAAUUUCCACAAGGAGUCACAGCCACUCUCUGGGCAGGCUGGGCACUCCUAAGGUAUGGGAACCUUUUGUUCACUUCACUAGGAAGUCGUGGAGAUGGAGCCAGUGAUAGUUGGCCUUAAGCUAUACUAAAUCCCUCCUUUUGCAGAACAGGAAACAGAGGUCCAAGAAGUUCAUUCAGUAUUUUAACAUGGCUGGUUAGUGGCAGGGCCAAGACAAGGAGCCAAGCUUCACUUAUCAACUCAACACAUAUUAAUCAUGCUCUGCACCAUGUGCAGGGAAAGAGCAGUGAGUGAAACUGUUAGGAAAGGAGGGAUGGAUUUGGGGGUAAGUCCAUCCUCCAAUUUUCAGUUUUCAGCCUCUUAAGAAAGAGAACUUGAUGCUUGGUUUAAUCUAGAAGAAGCUAAACAUGGAAAUAUUCCUCUUGCCAGGGGUUGAUUUAGGGGUGGGCGUACGAUCUAGUUCUGGUCAAGUAGGUAUGAAGGGAAAUUUGCUAUGGGGCUUGGUAAUGUUUCUGGGAACAAUUUUUCUUCCACUAAAGGUUGCUGCAUGGGGAUGUAGUGCCUGUCGACAAGCUGACAUAGUACAGAAGAGAGAUGGAAAAAAACCCUGGGCCCUUGACAACAUCACUGAGCUGCUGAAAAACCAAACUCACAGGCCCUGCUACAACACUUGUUGAGAUGUGAGCUGAUAAAAUUAGCUUACUAAUUCAGUCAGCUGAGUUAGGUUUUCUAAU